CUUUUUCUAAAUAAAACACCAAAUUUUUACUUUUUCAUCCAUCCUCUGACAACUUUCUUCUUUCUAUCAUUUUUCUACCAUGAUAUAUUUAUACGUUAAAUAAAAUUGUAAAUAAAUAAAUAGUACAAUUAAAAAUAACGAAGUAAAAUAUGUAUUUCGAAAAUAUUUUUUUUCCUCUACUCUUUUUUAUUCGUUUAACCGGUUAGCCAAUGCGACCUCUUUGAGAAGACGAAGAAGCUGUUACGCGCAGGAUGUGUGGCAAAGAGUAGACGAUGACGAGUAUACUCGUCAAACGUAGCUAACUGUUUUUAAAUAUACAUUUGUUUAAAAACGAUAACAAUCUACUACGAAAUUUAUGCUAUUUCCUUUUUAUAAUUAUCCUCCCUUGUAUUUUUAUCAUUUUCGUUACUACCACAGACCCGAUCAAACCACCGGUUUCCAAAUUUCAUUUCAAAUUCGUUGCCUUUUCUUUCUCGUUCGUCGAACUUUACGUGAAUUCUUCCAUUAGAUUGGCAACUAAGUGAUUGCGGAUUUUGCCAAUACUACCUAAUGACAAAGUCCGCAAUCACUUAGUUGCCAAGCCAAUAUCAUCCGAUCGAUGGAAUUCUCAAUUUUUGCUAAUAUAAGAAUUCCAUAAGAAUUAAUGUAAAAACUACGUAAAGUUAGACGAAGGAAAGAAAGAACGACGAAUGUUGAAUUUUCAAUCGAACGUUGAAACAAUUUGCUAAGAUCGGUGUUAAGUACGUUCUAAUUUACAAAUAACAUUUUUCUAAUCGAUCACACGACUAUAUAACGAUUCGAGUUGAUGGAUUUUCUUACGUCUACGUUGUAUACGAUCAAUGACGAUGAGUUGAAAGUAGAGCGAUCUCGAUCCAACUGGUGGCGCCGCCUCAAAAUCAAACACAGUGUCUCUGUAGCAAUUUCAGCGAAUAAAACAGCCUCUCCUUAAUUGAUCUCAUUGAGCGUGUUCAAGAAACCGAGUUAAUUUAAUUUCUCGGCCGUAUUAGGCCCGCGAUACUUCGUUGCGUUUCGACGUUGGAAAAAUCUCGCAGUUGAAUAUUCCCUUAAUAAAUCCACUUAGGCGAUCUUUCCACGAAAUCUCAAAAUUUCAACUAAGCAAAGGAGAAAUUAAUAUGCCGCUGUAGCAGACUUCCAGCUUUUAAGAAUUUUUAUGAUAAAAAUUUUCAACUUUUUUUUUUUUUUUUUUUUUUUGUUUCAAACAUUUUACACGCCGAGUACUUUACACGUUUUAACGUGCGUGUCGCUUGUUGCUAUUUUUGACGGUUUCGCGAAGUACACGCGUUGGAUAGAUACGAUUGACGCUGUCGCAUAAUUCUUCGAGUUGUUGGAAUUUUUCAAUUGCGUUGAGUUUUGUAAAAAACGAACGAGGAAAAUUCUGUUCAAUGUGGGUAACACACGUUAAAAAUUAUAUUUCGAAAGAACGAGAUUGUCAAGAAAAAGGCUCUUUUUCCACACGGAGAAGACAGAAACGAGGAAGUUGGUUCGUUCGGGUGUAAUGAAAUCGAGGUCGUGAUACACGAGCUGUGAAACGAGCUUCAAGGCGCAUUCGCAACGACCGUGUCGUCGUCUGUUCGGCCGUGAUAAUUGAGAAACUGUUGGUAUGGAGGGGUAUACGAGGGUGUAGCCACUCGUCGAAUGAAUGCAAUAUCGCAGACACGCGAGAAGAGGCUGAAGGUAUCGAGGGGGAUAAAUCGAACACGGUUUCAGACGAUUCCUCGCGACGCGCUUCUGAGAACGUCGGUCUCGUUCAAAAAAAAAGAAAAAAGAAAAAAGAAAAAAAAAAGAAAGAUGAGAAAAGAAA